UUGUCUGACCGGGUCGUGUAAGUAGUCGAGUAGCCUUGUUGUUACGAGCUACUGAGCGUAAGCCCGCGUCAGCUAGAUUUGU
rnacentral:ncRNA from 1 species